rnacentral:rRNA from 1 species
GGGGAAUAUUGGACAAUGGGGGAAACCCUGACGCAGCGACGCCGCGUGAGCGAUGAAGGCCUUCGGGUUGUAUAGCUCUGUGGGGAGGGACGAAUAAGUGUUGGCUAAUAUCCAACAUGAUGACGGUACCUCCUUAGCAAGCACCGGCUAACUCUGUGCCAGCAGCCGCGGUAAGACAGAGGGUGCAAACGUUGUUCGGAAUCACGGGGCGUAAAGCGCGUGUAGGCUGCUGCGCAAGUCGGAUGUGAAAUCCCACGGCUCAACCAUGGAAGUGCAUUCGAAACUGCGUAGCUAGAGUUUUGGAGAGGAAGGCGGAAUACUCGGUGUAGAGGUGAAAUUCGUAGAUAUCGAGUGGAACACCGGUGGCGAAGGCGGCCUUCUGGACAAUGACUGACGCUGAAACGCGAAAGCGUGGGGAGCAAA